AUUAAAGAGUUGCAAAACUCCCAAACCAUUGUGAACGUUACCUUUACCGUUGCUUCGGCGGGCGGCCCGGGUCCUGCCCGGCGCCCCUCGGCCCUCGCGGGCGCCCGCCGGAGGUAAACCAAACUCUUGAAUUGUAUGGCCUCUCUGAGUCUUCUGUACUGAAUAAGUCAAAACUUUCAACAACGGAUCUCUUGGUUCUGGCAUCGAUGAAGAACGCAGCGAAAUGCGAUAAGUAAUGUGAAUUGCAGAAUUCAGUGAAUCAUCGAAUCUUUGAACGCACAUUGCGCCCGCCAGUAUUCUGGCGGGCAUGCCUGUUCGAGCGUCAUUUCAACCAUCAAGCCCCGGGCUUGUGUUGGGGACCUGCGGCUGCCGCAGGCCCUGAAAACCAGUGGCGGGCUCGCUAGUCACUCCGAGCGUAGUAGUUACACCUCGCUCAGGGCGUGCUGCGGGUUCCGGCCGUUAAAAGCCUUAUUUUACCCAAGGUUGACCUCGGAUCAGGUAGGAAGACCCGCUGAACUUAAGCAUAUCAAUAAGCGGAUCCUCCGCUUAUUGAUAUGCCUUGUUACGACUUUUACUUCCCUCCCCCC
rnacentral:rRNA from 1 species